rnacentral:lncRNA from 1 species
UGUAGUUCUAGGCUUCUAACUAGAUGGAUUAAUAGAUAUGUUGGACAUAUGCAUUUUAUAUGACCAGCAUGGAUCUAUGUUUAUUAUUUGAUGCUCCUUCUUAUCACGGGGAAGAAUUUUUGCAAAGAGUUGUCAUUUUUGGAGAUAUGGGCAACUUAUGGAUUUGUUUUCACUUAAGGAGUAUGCUUUCAGUGCUACAGAGUAUGAAGUGAAAUUAGAUUAGAUUGAUGAUUAGUGAUUAAUUAUAGAACUGUUGGCAGCACCAGUUUAACAUAUGUUGAUUUCUGUCCCAUCUUUAUUUUUUUAAGUUAAACUGUGAAUUUGAAAACAAAAAGAUUCUACAUUUGUUAAUGCUAAAUUUAUCAGUUCUUUGUUUUGGUAAUCACCUCCUGCAUAUGUGUUCCUGGGUAGUUUUCUUACUGCCACAACUUGGAUUCUAUUGGCGUUUCGUGACAGAUUUUAGCAGCAUUGCUACACCUCUCAAUGAGAUUACAAAGAAGGAUGUGCCUUUUGUUUGGGGUACCGCACAGGAAGAAGCCUUCACGGUGUUGAAAGAUAAGUUGACACAUGCUCCUUUACUCCAACUUCCUAAUUUUAAUAAGACAUUUGAGCUUGAAUGUGAUGCUAGUGGAAUUGGAUUAGGAGGUGUGUUAUUACAAGAUGGCAAACCUAUUGCAUACUUUUCUGAAAAAUUGAGUGGGCCUAGUCUGAAUUAUUCUACUUAUGAUAAAGAAUUAUAUGCUCUUGUUCGGACUUUAGAAACAUGGCACCAUUAUUUAUGGCCCAAAGAAUUUUUUAUACAUUCUGAUCAUGAAUCUUUGAAACAUAUUAAAAGUCAAGCUAAACUGAAUCGUAGACAUGCUAAAUGGGUUGAAUUCAUUGAGACUUUCCCUUAUGUCAUUAAACACAAUAAGGGUAAAGAAAAUGUUAUUGCUGAUGCAUUGUCUCGUCGCUAUACUAUGGUUUCACAACUUGACUUCAAAAUAUUUGGUUUGGAGACCAUCAAAGAUCAAUAUGAGCAUGAUGGUGAUUUUAAAGAUGUAUUGCAGAAUUGUAAAGAAGGGAGAACAUAGAACAAGUUCAUUGUUAAUGAUGGAUUUGUGUUUUGUGCUAACAAGCUAUGCAUUCCAGCUAGCUCUAUUCGUCUUUUGUUGUUGCAGGAGGCGCAUGGAGGAGGAUUAAUGGGACACUGGCGUGAAGAAGACGGAGGAAGUACUUGCUACACAUUUCUUUUGGCCAAAGAUGAGAUGGGAUGUUGAGCGUUUUAUUGCUCGCUGCACUACCUGUCAAAAAGCUAAGUCACGACUCAAUCCUCAUGGUUUAUAUAUGCCUUUGCUUGUACCUAGUGUUCCUUGGGAGGAUAUAUCUAUGGACUUUGUUUUAGGUUUACCUCGAACAAAGAAGGGGAGGGAUAGCAUAUUUGUUGUCGUGGAUAGAUUCUCGGAAAUUACACACUUUAUACCAUGUCAUAAAAGUGAUGAUGCUGUUAAUGUUGCUGAUUUGUUCUUUCGUGAAAUUAUUCGCUUGCAUGGUGUGCCAAAUACUAUUGUUUCAUAUCGUGAUACUAAAUUUCUUAGCCACUUUUGAAGAUGUUUAUGGGCUAAGUUGGCGACUAAACUGCUUUUUAGUACUACUUGUCACCCCAAACUGAUGGACAAACUGAAGUAGUCAAUAGAACAUUGUCCACUAUGCUUAGGGCUGUUUUGAAGAAUAAUAAGAAAAUGUGGCAGGAAUGCUUGCCUCAUAUUGAAUUUGCUUAUAAUCAUUCAUUGCAUUCUACUACUAAGAUGUGCCCUUUUGAAGUUGUGUAUGGGUUCCUACCUCGUACACCUAUUGAUUUGUUGCCUCUUUCAUCUUCGGAGAAGGUUAAUUUUGAUGCUAAACAACGUGCUGAAUUGAUUUUAAAAAUGCAUGAGUUAACUAAGGAAAACAUUGAGCGUAUGAAUGCUAAAUAUAAACUUGCUGGAGAUAAGGGUAGAAAACAUGUUGAGUUUGCACCUGGAGAUCUUGUUUGGUUACAUUUGCGUAAGGAUAGAUUUCCUUAUUUGCGCAAAUCAAAGCUAAUGCCACGUGCUGACGGACCUUUUAAGGUGUUAGAGAAAAUAAAUGAUAAUGCAUAUAAACUUGAGCUGCCUGCAGAUUUUGGGGUUAGUCCCACUUUUAACAUUGCAGAUUUGAAGCCUUAUUUGGGAGAGGAAGAUGAACUUCCGUCGAGGACGACUUCAUUUCAAGAAGGGGAGGAUGAUGAGGACAUCAAUACCAUUGUUACACCCACAGCCCCUGCUGCUAUACAUACUGGGCCAAUUACUAGAGCUCGCGCACGCCAAUUAAAUUACCAGGUACUUUCGUUUCUUGGUAAUGAUUCUAAUGUUCACGAGAAUAUGAUGCUGCCUAAAUUGGAUACAUUUGUUUUGCUUACAAAUGAAGGGCCUAGCUUGGAGAAGGAUGAACAUUGGAGCAAGACCAAGCAUGGAGAUGAUGGCAUGUGCAAGGGGAACAAUAGCGGAGUUACAAGUGAUGAUUUCAGGACUUUGAAGCCACCAUAAUGAGUGCAUGAAGCCUUGGACNNNNNNNNNNNNNNNNNNNNNNNNNNNNNNNNNNNNNNNNNNNNNNNNNNNNNNNNNNNNNNNNNNNNNNNNNNNNNNNNNNNNNNNNNNNNNNNNNNNNGGUAGUUUUCUUACUGCCACAACUUGGAUUCUAUUGGCGUUUCGUGACAGAUUUUAGCAGCAUUGCUACACCUCUCAAUGAGAUUACAAAGAAGGAUGUGCCUUUUGUUUGGGGUACCGCACAGGAAGAAGCCUUCACGGUGUUGAAAGAUAAGUUGACACAUGCUCCUUUACUCCAACUUCCUAAUUUUAAUAAGACAUUUGAGCUUGAAUGUGAUGCUAGUGGAAUUGGAUUAGGAGGUGUGUUAUUACAAGAUGGCAAACCUAUUGCAUACUUUUCUGAAAAAUUGAGUGGGCCUAGUCUGAAUUAUUCUACUUAUGAUAAAGAAUUAUAUGCUCUUGUUCGGACUUUAGAAACAUGGCACCAUUAUUUAUGGCCCAAAGAAUUUUUUAUACAUUCUGAUCAUGAAUCUUUGAAACAUAUUAAAAGUCAAGCUAAACUGAAUCGUAGACAUGCUAAAUGGGUUGAAUUCAUUGAGACUUUCCCUUAUGUCAUUAAACACAAUAAGGGUAAAGAAAAUGUUAUUGCUGAUGCAUUGUCUCGUCGCUAUACUAUGGUUUCACAACUUGACUUCAAAAUAUUUGGUUUGGAGACCAUCAAAGAUCAAUAUGAGCAUGAUGGUGAUUUUAAAGAUGUAUUGCAGAAUUGUAAAGAAGGGAGAACAUAGAACAAGUUCAUUGUUAAUGAUGGAUUUGUGUUUUGUGCUAACAAGCUAUGCAUUCCAGCUAGCUCUAUUCGUCUUCUGUUGUUGCAGGAGGCGCAUGGAGGAGGAUUAAUGGGACACUGGCGUGAAGAAGACGGAGGAAGUACUUGCUACACAUUUCUUUUGGCCAAAGAUGAGAUGGGAUGUUGAGCGUUUUAUUGCUCGCUGCACUACCUGUCAAAAAGCUAAGUCACGACUCAAUCCUCAUGGUUUAUAUAUGCCUUUGCCUGUACCUAGUGUUCCUUGGGAGGAUAUAUCUAUGGACUUUGUUUUAGGUUUACCUCGAACAAAGAAGGGGAGGGAUAGCAUAUUUGUUGUCGUGGAUAGAUUCUCGGAAAUUACACACUUUAUACCAUGUCAUAAAAGUGAUGAUGCUGUUAAUGUUGCUGAUUUGUUCUUUCGUGAAAUUAUUCGCUUGCAUGGUGUGCCAAAUACUAUUGUUUCAUAUCGUGAUACUAAAUUUCUUAGCCACUUUUGAAGAUGUUUAUGGGCUAAGUUGGCGACUAAACUGCUUUUUAGUACUACUUGUCACCCCAAACUGAUGGACAAACUGAAGUAGUCAAUAGAACAUUGUCCACUAUGCUUAGGGCUGUUUUGAAGAAUAAUAAGAAAAUGUGGCAGGAAUGCUUGCCUCAUAUUGAAUUUGCUUAUAAUCAUUCAUUGCAUUCUACUACUAAGAUGUGCCCUUUUGAAGUUGUGUAUGGGUUCCUACCUCGUACACCUAUUGAUUUGUUGCCUCUUUCAUCUUCGGAGAAGGUUAAUUUUGAUGCUAAACAACGUGCUGAAUUGAUUUUAAAAAUGCAUGAGUUAACUAAGGAAAACAUUGAGCGUAUGAAUGCUAAAUAUAAACUUGCUGGAGAUAAGGGUAGAAAACAUGUUGAGUUUGCACCUGGAGAUCUUGUUUGGUUACAUUUGCGUAAGGAUAGAUUUCCUUAUUUGCGCAAAUCAAAGCUAAUGCCACGUGCUGACGGACCUUUUAAGGUGUUAGAGAAAAUAAAUGAUAAUGCAUAUAAACUUGAGCUGCCUGCAGAUUUUGGGGUUAGUCCCACUUUUAACAUUGCAGAUUUGAAGCCUUAUUUGGGAGAGGAAGAUGAACUUCCGUCGAGGACGACUUCAUUUCAAGAAGGGGAGGAUGAUGAGGACAUCAAUACCAUUGUUACACCCACAGCCCCUGCUGCUAUACAUACUGGGCCAAUUACUAGAGCUCGCGCACGCCAAUUAAAUUACCAGGUACUUUCGUUUCUUGGUAAUGAUUCUAAUGUUCACGAGAAUAUGAUGCUGCCUAAAUUGGAUACAUUUGUUUUGCUUACAAAUGAAGGGCCUAGCUUGGAGAAGGAUGAACAUUGGAGCAAGACCAAGCAUGGAGAUGAUGGCAUGUGCAAGGGGAACAAUAGCGGAGUUACAAGUGAUGAUUUCAGGACUUUGAAGCCACCAUAAUGAGUGCAUGAAGCCUUGGACGAAAUAUACAAGAUGUCACUUUAUAAAUUUCGUCCAGAGGCUAUUCUAGGUGCUGCGUCACCUUUUUAUUGGGCCAGGCCCAUGUAAUUUCGAAAUACAUAAGUAUAGACUAUUUUUAGAGUCCGUAUGUGUGGGGAAACAAGAGAUAGGGUUGGUUUCGGACCCCUCCACUAAGGGCCACGAAAUCCCCCCCUCUUCCUCCAUAUAUACAGCUCUUAGGCCACCGUUUAGACUUUGGAUUUUGUUUAGAUUAAAAGUUUGCCAUAGCUGCAACUUCGCGUACUUCGUUUGUGUUCAACGACCAAACCAAGACGUCACAGAACCCCAUCUUGAUCAAUAAAGCUUUCAUCUUAUAUUCGCAAUAUCCAGAUUGCAAUCUCAGAUUCUUGCUUGUUCUUUGUUUGCUCGCAGGAAAAUAGACCCUCGUGGUCAGGUUGAUCAUGCUCCGG